rnacentral:rRNA from 1 species
CCUACGGGGGGCAGCAGUCGAGAAUCAUUCACAAUGGGGGAAACCCUGAUGGUGCGACGCCGCGUGGGGGAAUGAAGGUCUUCGGAUUGUAAACCCCUGUCAUGUGGGAGCAAAUUAAAAAGAUAGUACCACAAGAGGAAGAGACGGCUAACUCUGUGCCAGCAGCCGCGGUAAUACAGAGGUCUCAAGCGUUGUUCGGAAUCACUGGGCGUAAAGCGUGCGUAGGCUGUUUCGUAAGUCGUGUGUGAAAGGCGCGGGCUCAACCCGCGGAGGGCAGAUGAUACUGCGAGACUAGAGUAAGGGAGGGGGAACCGGAAUGCUCGGUGUAGCAGUGAAAUGCGUAGAUAUCGAGAGGAACACUCGUGGCGAAGGCGGGUUCCUGGACAUUAACUGACGCUGAGGCACGAAGGCCAGGGGAGCGAAAGGGAUUAGAUACCCUUGUAGUC